UCGUUUUCAAUCUCAGAAAUCACAAGUUUUAUCGAAUAUCUAUUGUUCUCAAACCUUGUAUGAUCAUUAAAGGUAUUUAUUUUUUAGACUGACCAAAUAUCAACCUUGCAGCUGGAACUCCCUACGAGAAUGGUGUUUUCCGCAUGAAAUUGAUAUUGUCUCAUGACUUCCCGCAUUCCCCUCCCAAAGGACUGCCAUUGGCUUCAACUACAACAUUCACCAAAGGGGGAAAUGGGCAGGAUCAGCCAGCCUCGGCCUUGAAUUCAACAACCGAGACCGGAGUUAGCAGUGACUCAGUGGCGGCACCACCACCAAGAGGAUCAGCAAUAUCCUCUACAUGUUUAUAUUUUUCCCUUUUGAAAGAUUUAUUGUUUGUUUUGAAUGCUUGGAUUUGGGCUGCCCUAUAAUCUCCAAAAGCGAAAGUUCUCAUUGUAGGCCUUUUUAAAUAAAUGGAAAAUAAUGGUGAAUUUUAGAUUUUA